AAUACAGCCUGGUCACGUGCCUAUCUUUGUUCUCUGGAAGAGUUUGGCUCGAUAUGGUGCUCUCUUUCCUUCUGCAUCUGAUGAUCUUCCUCCAGGUGUUCCUGUUUGCUGCAGUAUCUGCAGACCCUUUGCCAGUCCCUACCCUCUCCACAGACCCCAGUUAUCAUGUAUACUAUGAAGGGGAGCGUGUAGCUUUGAUAUGUUUGGCUCCAACAAAGAGGACAAUAGGCGGAUUUUGGUUCUUCAACCAAAGUGGGGACCAAAUCUACCAGAUAGCACCCUAUCACCACACAGCUGCCUGGCUCCAGCUCACAGCUGCAAAAAUGUCCAGUGGAGAGUACACUUGCAUGUACUGGGUGGAGGAUUCUGGACAAGCAAUCUCUUCCAAUAGGAGCCUUCCUCUUUCAGUUAAGGUGCAAGGUGCUCCUAAGGCCCCAGUUUUGUCCCUGGAUCCUCAGCAACAUGUCUACAUAUCUGGGGACUAUGUCAAGCUACUCUGCUCUGUCCCCUCAUCUCCAGCCUAUGCUAGAGAAAUCCAGUACUAUGGGGAUUUUGGACUUGCAAUCUCUAUCCCAGUAUCAAAUAUUAAGAACUAUAGUUACAACCUCAGGAUCACAGGAGAGGAGGUCUCUGGGUCUUACAGUUGUGCUUAUUUUGUAUUUUGGUCUAGACGUACUGUUCGCUCAGAGAGGAGCCGCUGGGUCCAUGUGUAUGUGAAAAGCCAGAAAAUCAGCUGGAUGCGAGAGAUUGUUGUGGGCGGCUCAUUCUUUACCAUCAACGGUCUCAUCUUUUUCUUCUCCCACUGCCUGAUGAAGAGAAAAGAUCUGGAGGAGGGGUUCACGAUGCAAUAACAAUAUGGAGCAGAAGAAGCAUCCCCAAAGAUUUUUACCCUAUUUAGCAAAGGCAAUCCAUUCCCUAGGACCCUGCUUAAUUCCCUAUUGCCUGCUUCAGUGUCCCCAAGAGACAAAAGUGAUGAAUGCUGAACUUAAAUUACUUGUCCUGCUUCUCUCCUCUGUGCCUUCAAACAUGUCUCACAUCUCUCUAAUUAAAGGUGGGUGUUGUGUCUUUGUGCAGUGGGUUUUAUCAAAAGAUGUAUCUUCCUAUCCCCCACCCUGGAGCGUGUGUUUGUGUGGGGGAGGGGGCAGGGUGUGUGUGUAUGUGCAUGCAUGUGUGUUCGUGCAUGUGUGUGUGUCUGCUCCACCGCACAUGUAACUCCACAAUGUUAUCAUUAAAUCUGGUUCUUACUUUCAUCUGAAAUUCAGACUCCUUUGUGGUAGACCACUGCAGCUUGGGCAUUUGUCUCUGAACUGUGGGACCUGACAGAAGGGUGGAGGGCACACAUGCAGAUCUGUUCUUG
rnacentral:lncRNA from 1 species